AUGCAGAGACAGGAGACACGAGUUCAGUCCCUGGGUUCAGAAGAUUCCCUGGAGGAGGAAAUGGCAAUCGACUCUAGUAUUCUUGUCUGGAAAAUUCCAUGGACAGAAGAAGCUGGCAGGCUGUAGUCCAUAGGGUCACAAAGAGUUGGACAUGACCCAGUGACUAAGCACACCACAAACACACAGACACACACACAUUAGAUUGAUGUGAUGAAUUCACCUUCGGCCUCCAAAAUAUAAACCCUCCAGUUAUUUUUUCCCUCCCUGUUUCCCCCUGCCCUGCAGCAGUCCUCCACAGGCUCACGGGAAGAGGCAGCCUCUAACAACACAGCAGAAGGGAACUUGCAGGAUGGGGAGAAGAAAGGGCUCAGGUUCACUGCUGUCAGCAAAAAGCUCCUAUAAACAGAGAAGCACAUUAAGCCCUUCUGUUAAUAUGCUGUCUAGACUUGAAAAGAUUGCUUUUCUCUCUGUCUUCUAAGCUUCAACUUUUGACCUUGUUUCUGUCCUUGUGUCUGUACUGGACUCAAGCAAUUCUUCAACAGUCAAUUUACUGAACUACUUGUCACCUAAGCUACUGCUGUGACUGGGUGGGGACAUGAUCCCUGUGAAAUGAAUGGAAAACUUGAUGACAAUUGACCCCCGAGGCAGAAAAUGCAGUGAGUCCCCCUUCUUCUGGUUUAAGGGUAAAAUGAUACUCUCCCCAGAAACUGGAGCAGAUAAUCCCUUUGUUGAUUGUGGAUGGAAUCUUGGAAGGUACUGGAGGGAGGCUUGAGAAGAAGAGCUUAUGAGUUCCACACUCGGGGAUAGAAACCAGUUCUUAGCAACAUGAAUGCAAGUCUUUUUUUGGACUAUGUUUUACUCUGGGACGUUUCUUCUUCCUCUCCACAUUCCCAGGGCCUUUAUGCUAACAGCUAGUUGCUCAAGUCUCUCUCCAAUACGUAAUAUUUAUUAAGCACUUGAUGCAUGCCAGGCAUUUCUAAGCACUCAUCUAACUGUUCUCUUUUAAUCCUCCCAACUGCAAUAUUACAAGGUAGAUACUCUUGUUAUUGUC
rnacentral:lncRNA from 1 species